GCUCUGUCGGGAGGGACGAAUAGAGUGGUGUAAUGGCCACUUCUGACGGUACCUCCAAAGGAAGCACCGGCUAACUCUGUGCCAGCAGCCGCGGUAAUACAGAGGGUGCAAGCGUUGUUCGGAAUUACUGGGCGUAAAGCGCGUGUAGGCGGCGUCGUGAGUCAUAUGUGAAAGCCCUCGGCUCAACCGAGGAAGUGCAUGUGAUACUGCGAUGCUUGAGUGUUGGAGGGGGUGGCGGAAUUCCCGGUGUAGAGGUGAAAUUCGUAGAUAUCGGGAGGAACACCUGUGGCGAAGGCGGCCACCUGGACAACAACUGACGCUGAGACGCGAAAGCGUGGGUAGC
rnacentral:rRNA from 1 species